rnacentral:antisense_RNA from 1 species
GGGACCAUGUGCUUGCCACCAGGUUUGUUGGGG